UAUUAGGACUACUGGAUGAACCACACCUUCCUUUUGACUGUGAUACCAUGAGACUGCUUGAGGAGGCCUAUGAGGACCUGGGGGAUAGUCAAGCUAUACAGUAUGGGGAUCAACACUGGUACAUAGGAUACAAACUUAUUGUAAAGUGGCUCCAAUGAAGAAUCACGGACGAGACAUAUACAUAAGCACUCUGAGUUUCUUCAGGAGUCAGGCUUUCUUAGAUACACUUACAGAACGACUAUGAGCCAUGGUUGAUGAUAAAACGAGACAGGUAAGUCGUAAACGUAGCGACAUGCAUUUUAUAUAAUUCACCCACCUUAUUCUCAUGUUGUAUGAUUCAAUAGGACGACAAGAAGUAGUCACAAGAAAGAGUGCUCUGUCAAGCAAAGAAGCAGCUAUUAUAUUAUUAUCAUUUAUAAAAUGAAAUUAUGUAAUUAUAGACCUGCUAGCCUACCAAGAUCAAAAUGCAUGACGCUUGCAUCUUUUAUAAAUAAAUAAAAUUAUAAUAUAUAUAUUACAAGUUUUAGAAAGUAAGAGUACAAUAAUGAUAGAAAUAUAAUAAUGAUACUGAUAAUGCAUUCACUGGUAAGACUCAUAAUAGGCAUGGCUUUAAUUUAUGGCCACACCCACUUGACACAGACAAGCAGAUGGAUAUUAACGUGUUCCUUAGAGUUUUUGUACCAAAAGAAGGAGAAGCCAAUGUAUGGGAACUAUCAACUGAUUAUUAUCUACACCAUAGGACAGCUAGGGAACUACAAUCACCAAAACUGUUUAAGAGUCCUACCAAAUGGUGGGAAGAUGAACUGGUAUCAUCAAGCCACAAUAUGAAGGACAAGUUAUUGCUAAUAUUGAAGAUGAUCCUGAAGAAGAACCCACUCCUCCAGCAGUACCUCAUAUUAAUAAUGACACUACUGACAGAGACAGUUUUGAUGGAUAAUACAAAAUGUACGAACUAACCAACUUUGAUAGACUACUGAGCACAUCUGUUGUAAGGACUGGAGAUAAUGUUGUGUCCCUUGAUAGUGAAGGUGCUAUUCAAGGUAAUCCUUUUGUAGUGAGAGAUAAAAUGAAGAAGAAAGUGGGCUCCAGUAGUUCCAAGAUGGCUGCUAAAAGAGGAUUCAGUGUUGGUUUACCACAGACUCAGAUUGCUAUGUACUCACAAUUUGACAGAUGAUUAUUUUGUUGUGUGUUAUAUAUGACUAUUUGAUUAUGUGUUCACCACUUUCUGUGGUGGUUUGUUUGUUUUGUCCCACAAGUGUGUUUGAAUAAUAAUAUUGAUAGUUAAUAGUUAAUGCUAUGUCCUAGAACUG